UCUAAACACAACAAUUAUUGUGCCAAAUGGGAUUUUAAAAAACCAAGACACAACCAAAGACUGUCUACAAGAAGCCCGCUUUAAAUACGAUGAUAAAGAUACGUUAAAAGUACAAGUAUAGAAGCUACACCAGCAAACACUAAUUAAAAAAUGAUGGAGAAGGCUUUAUUAAUAUCAGACUAGGUAGAUUUCAGAACAAGAAAACACUGACUCUUUAGAGAAAUGUGAAGGAUGGUUUUGAAUAGCAAAAUCUGGCCUGUUUUUCAGGGAUCUGCCUGGAAGAAGCAACUCGUUCCAUUUUCUGAACUCUGCUGCCAACUGAAAUUGCCCAGGACUAAAAGGCAGAGAAACGGAUUUUUCCUAAUUUGUCUCCCAGUGAGCUCACCCAAGGGAAAAGACAACAAAGUGGUUUUAGAAACUGCUGCCAACAAAGAGAAGAUAUGCUCAGAGUACAAAGCAACAGAGGCAACAACUAAACAUUUCUGUUAUGACGCUAUGAGCCAGCAAUUCCACUCCUGUGUACAAACCCAACAGAAACAUGUACAUGUGUGCACCGGAAGACACGUGCUCAAAUGCUCACAACUGCGCAAUUUCUAAUUGCCAAAUGGGAAAUCACCCAAAAGGACUGCCAACACUAGAAUGGAUAAGUAAACUGAAGACAGUCCGUACAAUGGAAUGCUAUAUAAGAAUGAGAAAAAAAAUCAUGGUUACGCACAACAAUAUGGACAAAUCUCAAAAAGGUUGCUAGCCAGCUUCGUGGACAGAUCGGGCAGUGUGGUGUAGUGGAGAGGGUCAGAAGCUGGAAGUGAGGUCUCCAGAGCUCCAUCGGUCACCUGCAUAACCUAAUGUCUCAGUGCCCUUGUCCAUAUAACAAGGCGAGAGCCAUUCCCGGCUGGGUCAUUCUAGGGUUUACAUGAGACCAUGGCUGAGAAACAAUCAAGGCAGUCAUCAAUGUAAAUGCAACAGGGAAGGAAAUAGAAACCCAAGACCAGGGAUUGUCUCGCUGGCAUUAGAACCUUCCGGAGAAGGCAUUUUAUUUUGAUGGCAUAGAAGGAUGCCUGAGACCACAGAGGACUGUUGAGUUUGAAACUGGCACUCAGUGGGACAGAUUUGGGCCACGGAUAGAGCUGGCCCCUCUUGGACCCGCCCCACCCAGGGUUUCCUGCAAGCAGAGCGUGCACAGGGAUGGAUUCAGAACCUCUAGCUCCCUCAAGGUAGAGCUGCAGACGUUGUGGAGUUACAGCCUUCAGGAUUUCCCUGGGGAUUCAUGUUGAACUCAGGACCCCUGGAAGGAGCCGCCAAACCCAAUGAGCAUCUGAAAAUUCUGGAACAUUCUCGGGCACCCAGCAGAGCAGAAAAGAGCUUACCCCAGGCCCAGAAAACAUUCCCACACCCAGGUGAGCUUCUUCUUCACCUCAUUACCGACUCUUUGGAUGGUCACUUGGGAGAGAAUCUACCCAGAACCAAGCCAAAAGGACCCAGCUCUUCGUGACUGUGCAUGUG